AGCCACCCAGGUGCCCCAUAUAGCCAUUUUUUUGUAAGAAAAAGGAAAACCCAACAAAACUGUCUUUCCAUAUGGAACGCGCAGAUACACCUCUUGACAAGGGUCUUUGUAACUGAUAGUGGUGGUGGUAGUGGUGGAGGAGGACCACUUUCCGUGGAGCAAACAUGGUGCUUUACUUCCAAAAAUCAACUAAUCUUCACAACAAGCCAGUGAAAUUAAUCCUAUUAUUCUUCCCAUGUUAUACACUAGAAAAUUGAGGCUGGAGAAGUUAAAUCACUUGCCCAAGAUUGUAGAGUUAGUUAAGUGACAGAACGAGGCUCGCCUGCACCAAAAGUCUUGGUCUUAACUACUAAGCUCUGUUGAUUCCUUCAUGGAAAGGAACUAAAUAUUCAUUAUCAUUUCUGUAUAAUUAUAUAUAAUUAAUUUUAUGUAAUUAAGGCCAAUAGAGAAACUAAUAGAAGCCAAAUCUUUCCCCAAGGCUCUAUUGACCGAAUACUAGUUUGCAAAAGAUGUACGAACCGGGUAGCUUUCUCAUAUUAAAAUCUUAUUUCUCCUCUCUGUGCACAACAUAGGUCAAGUACUAAUAAGAUCAAGUCAAAGUAGCUGAGAUUUAUUGAGUACUUAUUAGGUGCCAGAUCUUAUGGUAAACAUCUCCCAUGAGUUCAUGCUUUUAAUCUUCACAAUCUUGCAAGAUAGGUGUUGCCUAGGAGAAAACUGAGGCUCAGAAAUGCUCAAUAACAGGCUCAGAGUCGUUCAAGGUCAGCCUGUGGGGGCAGAGCAAAAUGGUGACCACAGCCAUCUCUCUGCAGACUUCAGAGCCCUCACUAAGAUCUGGUAUAGCAAGAAGAUCUAGGAGCACAUGAGUUAGAAACACUGCACUUUUCUUUCCCAAGAUUGCAGUGAUAGAUGAAAGAAACUCAUGAAAAUGUCCUGGGGACUUAGUAUCUAUGAGGCUUUUUUUAUAGGUACGUCAUCCAGAGCUAAGGCUGGCUAGAGAUAGACUCUACACAAGACUUCCAUGCUUUCUGCACUGCUGCAUGAAAAAGACAAUACCAUCUUCUAUAGGGUCCCAGGGAGGCUGUCUACCUACAACAGGGGUCACUUGUAAGUCAGGGUUGUCUGUGUCCAUUACUCAGGAAGGCUGGAGAAUAGGGGGAUCCAACGGCCUUCCAGAGUUAGUGUUCUGGAAACUCUUUAAAGUAUCCAUCCUACAUAUUUUAUACUUCCUGGUCUAGCUUCACUAUUCAGGCUUGGAUUAAAUUUCAUUGCUUAAUUGUGCAGAAUGAGAGGUUAUUACCCCCUAAGAUUGUUCUCAGCUGGAAUGUGCACAAGAUUCAGAGGGAACUUGCUAAAGAAAAACAUAGGCCAGAGCCUUUCCUUGAGAAUCUCAUGCUGUUGGUACAGGAUGGUGUCCAGGAAACUGGACAACCAUGGCAAAAAGUCCAGUAGAUAUUUGGUAAGUACAGGUUGAAUCCCAAACACAGACACUUCCUCCUGCAGCAAAUCUUCUUUGACCACCCUCACCUGACUCUAAACCUCAGCGACACUAUUGCCAUCGGGCCCUUCUAAUUUUUUCCAUCUAUUUAAUGAAUAAAUGAGUGAGAGAUGCAGAGAAAGAAAGAGGGGGGCAGGGAGAAAACAUGCACAAAGUGUGUGUGAGGGUAUCUAAAUUCUAAUGACAUGGAUUAGGCUUCCUGGAUCCAGCUAUACUUGAAGCCAAUAGACCCCUAGACUUUUUAGUUAUGUGAGCUAAUAAUGCCUUUUGGGAUUUAAGCUACUCAACAGGUGAUAGGAGAGAAAAGAAUGAAUCAUUCUUUGCUUGUCUCAGUAAAGGAAAAUAGAUAAAUGUGUAUAACAUUUGUUAAAUAAAAUGACCAAAGCCCACUCACCCUGCCUAUGUGAGGCUGAGCCAGGACCCAGCUUGUCUGGCCCUGUGUGCUCUCAUCACCACCAUUACUAUUAUUUCAAUCUAAUUCUGUGGUUUAAUUGCCCCAGGCCUCUGUGCCACAGGGAGCUGUAAGUAAAUAGCUGAGGACUGUGGUUCCUCUAGGGUGAUCAUAUCAGAUGUACAGAUAUUAAAACAGAAAUUGUGUCAUGUCACCAUGUUUGUGUUUCCAGUACCUGCAGCUGAUUGACAGGAAAAGCACUGCUGAAGCCAAUUCUAAAGUGUCUCACUGGUUUGAGUUUUCAUGCCAGAGGCUAUGGAGAAAAAAGGAAGUGAGUCAAUGGAACCAGAUGCCUUAUUGUAGCCCUGUAGCUUUUUAUUGCAGAUUAGAACUGGGAAUCCGGCAGGGGUCUCUUUACAAGUGUAAAACAGUGAGGGGCUCUUUGUAUCUCUUACCAUUUCUAAAAAGCUUUUUUAAAAAAUGUCUUGCUUUCCUCCUUUUGUGCUUUAAUAUUAGACCCCACAUUCUCUGGGAUCUUAGGGGCCUGAAUUCCCAUUAUAAGCUGACUUUUGUUCCCUGAUGCCAAAUUGUUCUUUUGGAGACAGAAGCAGGAAUGAAAGCUGGUCCCUGGCCCCAGAACAUUCCCUGCCUGCUGUGAGGAGGCCUGGGUAGUGCACACAGACCUAAGUUGACUCUCCCUGGAGUCAGGAGCAGGAUCAGCAUAGCAUCUCCCAAGGACCUGAGGCCACAGUCCAUCAGCUCUCUCAGCGACACACUCUGUGUUCCAGGUUUCACACUCAUUCUCUCAUUUGAUUUUCUCAACUACCCUCUUAGGAUGUCCUUCAGCCCAUUUAACAGAUAAGGAAAACCAAGCUCAUGGACCAUAAGUGAUUUCUCCAACACAACAUGGUAACCAAGUGGCAGAGACUGAAUGUGAGCCCGGCUCUAUGGGACUCCAAAGCUUGAAAUCAUCAAAGAUCCCGGAGGAGAAAAAAGAAGCAGGCAUUUAGGAAUAGGGGUCAGCAAACCAUGGGGCACAGGGUGAAUCUGGAUAUCCACCUUUUUUGUAAAAGAUUUUUAGAACAUGGCCACACCUGUCAUUCACAUACUGUCUAUGGCACAGUCCCUCUAUAUCAGAGGUGAGUUGUAACAAAGAACUCACAGCCAGCAAAGCCAAAACUACAUACUAUGUGCCCUUAAAGGAAAAUGUUUUCCCACCCUUAGUUUAGAACUUUGAACUUGGAAAUCAGUUUGACUUAAGAGUCAUUUCCCAUUGUCUGCUGUGUUUUCUGUUUUUCUCAUUUGAUAUCUGGGCAUUCAAGGGGCAGUGGCCUCCGUGAAGCAGCAAUGAGGAUGGAGUCAGGUACUGCAUUUCAAACACCUAGCAUAGUGGUUGGUGUUUACUAAGUGCUCAAGGAAAAAUAGCCAGUUACUUGCCCCACAACACUAUAGAACACCCCAACACAGUGGGAGAAUGUGCUAAUUCGCAUGAGAUGAAGUCUUGGUUGUGGGGUGGACAGCUCUCAAGCCAGCUUUUCUGGAAGGCUUGCAAGCUCUCAAAACAGAUUUUCUGGAAGACUUGAGGUUCUGGUAACCAGCCCCAUCAGGGCAGCUCAACCCCUUCCCUGCCAAACCUUUCAGAGUGUCUGGUCUCUGGAGUUGGGCUCUGAGGAAGAAUGUCUAAGAAUCAAGGUCAUUCUAGUUGUUUUUCAUAGAGGACAUUGUUUUGUGUUUUGUUUUUUUCUUCUUUCAGCCCAACAUGAAAGAUGGCAGUGAAAGAAAAAUGAAAUGGGAUGUUCCUUAGGACAAGGCCGAGAAACUAACCUCUGCUUACUUGGAGAUUUGCAUACAGCCUUCUGGACAGCCUAGAUGGCAAGAAGGAGGUGGCUUGGAAAUUUUUCACAUGUUCCCUUUCCAACACUGAUCAGAAACAAAUGCUGGGAGGCAAGGCUUGUUUGAGGCCACUACAGUAAGGAAAAACCUGUCCUGGGUAGCCUGCUGGUCCAGGGAAGAUGUGAGAGUUGUGUGGAAGACCUGAACCCUCAGACCUACAGUGUCAAACAGAACCGCACCAGCUGAGCCUAACUUAAGUCAGCCAACUCCAGCUGACCUGCAGGUAUGCAAGCCAGCCCAGCCAGGAUCAGAAGAGCUGCCCCAGCCAAGCCCAGCCUAAAUAGCCAACACUCACUCAGCCAGCAGACUGCAUGAAUAAUGAUGAAGACUUGUUAGAGUAAGCCACUGAGUUUUCAGGUAGCUCAUUACUUGCUAAUAAUUCAAUAAUGAACACAUCGGGCAAUCAAAGAGGACAGAUUUGGCCUAAGUUCUCAAGAUCCUCCCUUCAUUGAGCAAAUAUGUAUUAAGUACCCCCCAUGCAUCCAGCAUUAUGUUGAGGAUACGAGGAAGAAUAAUGGAUCAGGGCCCUGCUCUCACUGACUUUUCUAGUGAAGGGAAGACAAGGAAUAAAGAAAUAAUGAAAAUAAACUACAGAUGCUAAUGUAUUAUAAUAUGAUUUAUAAAAUGACUGGCUGGCUGCUUUAGACAGUGAGAGUCUCUUUGAAGUGACAUUUCAGUUCCUAUUUGGCUGACAAGAUGGAGCCAGUUUUAAUUUCCAGAAGCAGGAUGCUCAAGCCCGUGGAUGUUUCAGCGAGUGCAAAAGCUCUGAGUGGAAAAGAACUCCAUCCCUUCAAGAAACAGACAGGAGGCCUGUGGGGCUGAAGACGUCUUGCUCCUUUUAGAUAGUUAGUGCCUCUUCGUAAUUGGAAAAAUGUGCUUGCCUAAAUUGGCAAGAGGCCCGUGUCGAUUGUAAUUUCACUAUUCCAGAGCCCUAAUUAUCUUUAAUAAACUUGGCUUGGACUUCAGAUAAAAAUGAAAUCCCAACCUCACUCUGUUCUCAUUUAAAACACACAUCCACUGCUGACUCUAAUCUUCACUAAUAAAUGAGCACAAAUGAAGUACAGCGACUAAACAGUGAGCUAAUGGCCAAGGGGGGAUGCAGGCCAGGCUUCUAUCCUCAGGUUCAAUGCUGAAAGAAGUAACAUAGUAACGACAGAUUUUCAGAUUUGUCAGCUCUGUGGUUUUGCUGUUUCAAAUUGACUUUUAAUUUGGUGAAAGAGUUCUAUAUCUAAAUGAACCAGCGUUCACUCUCUGAGACACAAACAGAUCUAAGUGGUACCCAGAAGAAGUGAUAUUCUACUUAAGGAUGGAGUUUGAUGCCUUUAGUGAAUGCGGCUGCCUUUAAAAGAAAGCAUGAUUUCUUCUUCUGAAUGAGCUUCUCAUUUAGAUAUAAGAAAAGAAGACACGGUUGACCUGGUGGCAUUUCACUUACUAUUUUGUUACCUUGUUUGGAUGAUUUAACCUCUGUGAACUUCAGAUUUACUUAUGAAAUACUGAUGAUAAUGACCAACCAGCCACAAGGGUUAAAUAAAGGGUUAAAUAACAGGGUUCUAAGUCUUGUAUAAGCCCUAAAGGGCCAUGUAAUUGUGAGGUAUCCUGAUUAUUGAAGAUGUCAUGCCCCCCUGUGAGAGACUGGAUUGCUCUCUAUCACCACUGGACAGGAAGCUUGCAGUGCAGUAUUUUGAUGCAUAAAUAUAACAUUUUGAAAUAAAUAUGACACAUGCUGAUAUUGUCUAAGUGAUAAUAUUUUAUGACUAUUAAUUAAAGAAAAGAAAUAUCU